UUCGCAGCAAAUAGACUUCUCCUUUGAUUAGCGGCGGACGGGUAAGUAACACUGUGGUAACCUACCUAUAAGGAGCUGGGAUAACUUCGGGAAAUCCGGAGCUAAUACCGGAUAACAUUUGGAACCGCAUGUUCUAAAGUGAAAGAUGGUUUUGCUAUCACUUAUAGAUGGACCCGCGCCGUAUUACUAGUUUGGUAAGUAACGGCUUACCAANGCGACNAUACGUAGCCGACCUGACAGGGUGAUCGGCCACACUGGAANCUGAGACACGGUCCAGACUCCUACGGGAGGCAGGCAGUUAGUGGAAUCUUCCGCAAUGGGCGAAAGCCCUGACGCGAGCCAACGUCCCGCGUGAGUUGAUUGAAUGGUUUCGGACUCUGUUACAAACCUCUGUUUAUUAGGGGAAUCAAACAAAAACGUUGUAAAUUUAAACUGUGCCUUGUUCUUGAACCGNGNUACCUAAAUCAGGAAGAACACGGUUAA
rnacentral:rRNA from 1 species